CAGUGAGGUUCUCAGAGGUGUGGUCUGGAGAGGAUGUGUACACUCGGUGAGGUUCUCAGAGGUGUGGUCUGGAGAGGAUGUGUACACUCAGUGAGGUUCUCAGAGGUGUGGUCUGGGAAAGGAUGUGUGUACUCAGUGAGGUUCUCAGAGGUGUGGUCUGGAGAGGAUGUGUACACUCAGUGAGGUUCUCAGAGGUGUGGUCUGGAGAGGAUGUGCACAGUGAGGUUCUCAGAGGUGUGGUCUGGAGAGGAUGUGCACUCAGUGAGGUUCUCAGAGGCGUAGUCUGGAGAGGAUGUGCACAGUGAGGUUCUCAGAGGUGUGGUCUGGAGAGGAUGUGCACUCAGUGAGGUUCUCAGAGGUGUGGUCUGGAGAGGAUGUGUGCACACUCAGUGAGGUUCUCAGAGGUGUGGUCUGGAGAGGAUGUGCACUCAGUGAGGUUCUCAGAGGCGUAGUCUGGAGAGGAUGUGCACAGUGAGGUUCUCAGAGGUGUGGUCUGGAGAGGAUGUGUACACUCAGUGAGGUUCUCAGAGGUGUGGUCUGGAGAGGAUGUGUACACUCAGUGAGGUUCUCAGAGGUGUGGUCUGGGAAAGGAUGUGUGUACUCAGUGAGGUUCUCAGAGGUGUGGUCUGGAGAGGAUGUGUACACUCAGUGAGGUUCUCAGAGGUGUGGUCUGGAGAGGAUGUGCACAGUGAGGUUCUCAGAGGUGUGGUCUGGAGAGGAUGCACACUCAGUGAGGUUCUCAGAGGUGUGGUCUGGAGAGGAUGUGUGCACUCAGUGAGGUUCUCAGAGGUGUGGUCUGGAGAGGAUGUGUAUUCUUACUUUUGGGUAGUGAAGAGCUGGAGAUGCAGUUUACUGGAACAAAGUCUGUCUAAGUUAACUAACCCUCAAGAAGUUAAGCACUGCUCACCUGUAACAAGCGAUAGGUGAAAAUACAAUGGGGUUUAACAGGCCAUACCCUUUCCUACACUUAAGUCUCUCAUUAUGUUCUCCUUACCUGUGAGUUUCUAGGUCUCCAGUCCAGCAGUAGCAUGAGACCCCAGCUCUAAAGCCCUCAGGGGCUGACAAGAAAGCCCUUGCUUAUCUUAUCUCCCAAGGGUAUGGCAUGAGGACAGACAUGAGAACCGUAAGAAGAGUGGAUUCUAGGGAAAUAGACAAAUUCUGUAGGAUUAUCAAUGCCCACGAUGGCAUGAGCAAUUCUUUAUCCCAGAGCACUUAAUCAUGAAACACACUAGCAACCCUCUGUUCUCUGUACAUGUGGGGUGCACUAGGAGGGUGGCAAGGUCAGUUCCCAGUAGCCAAGGCCUCUGAACCCCCUCAUGUCAAGAGGUUCUCCUCCAACUGCUCGAGCGCUCUCCCCUCACCUGGGACUGGGUAAGACAGAAGGAGACCUCUACAAGGCCCGGCCGUCUGAGAAGUGUGCCACAAAGGAAAGAGUGUCCCGGAACCUAAGAUGCUCAGGCCUGGGAGGAACCGGAACAGUCCAUCCACAUCAGUGACCACAGUUCUACCAGGAACAGUCCAUCCACAUCAGUGACCACAGUUCUACCAGGAACAAAGAGCAAGUGCACAGAGCUUGAUGAUCCACAAAUUAUCUCACAGGGUGCCUUGCACAAUUUCUCACAAUAGCCUUGUGAGACAGAGUUCACUAUUCUCAUAGUAGCCUUGAAGAAUCAUGUCAUACAACACGCCAUGGCAGAGGCAAGCAAGUCCAAUGCAGCUCUGCUCUGAUUUUGGAACCGGUGUUUUACUUUUCUAAUACCAAGUUUGAAACGGAGCUCCAGGGCCUGUCCUGUCCCUAGGAAGUGUAUCCAGGAGACCGCCAUGGGCAGAAGUAAGUACAGGAAAACAUACUGAAGGACAGAGGACAGAGAGCAGAGCAGAAGCACAGAGGAGAGAAGAUGCCAGGUGAGCCUGCUCACGUGGGUUUGGAAGACAUCACACAGCAGGUGGAAUGGUGACGCAGUGACCGCCCUCAGUGAGCUCACAGCAGGGACAUUUGCACGCAUCUAUGGAGGGCAGUGAGCCUCACUGCUCUCCUCCUCCUCAGCUUCUUCUCCAUCCCGUCCAGGCCAGCGUGCUUAUGCCGUCGUCUUCCCUCCCCUAGACGUGUGCACAGGCUCUCCCACUUGUGUCCAGGGAGUGACUGCUAGUCUCCACUCAGAUCCCGCUCACUGCUGGGCUUCAUCUGAAGGAAGGACUGUGUGUCUUGCAGACCCUGUUCCUCCUCCCUUGGUGAGUGAGUUAGACCCUUCUCAAGUUCACCCAAUAAGCACUCAGCUCUGAACACUGCAAUCCUUUCGUGUGGCCAGACUUCGGGCUUCUUGAAACAGCCUGUCUGACCCCGAAUCCCUCUGCAUAUCAUGUGCGUGCGUGCGUGCGUGCGUGCGUGCGUGCGUGCGUGCGUGCGUGCGUGCGUGCGUGCCACAAGAACAUGGGUUUAGGGGCUAACUUUCCCCAAGGCUAUGUGGACAGGUGGGAAGACAGAUGACCCAUGUAAGUAAGCAAGUUAAAAUAGAAAGUAAGCGCACUGGAGGAUUCAUUGCCCCAAUCUCCAUGAAGGGUAUACACGUGGUACAUAUAAACUCAAUACAUGGAUAAAAAUGAGUAAAUCUUUGUCAACUGAUUACCCAUUAGAAGAAAUUUUAUUUCCCAAGAGGUUUUGUUUCUUUCUACUUUAAAACGAAAUCAAAUACAAAGGUGGCAUUGCUAAGGCAACCCUGACAGAUGCUCAUAAUAUAAAUAAGGCUAUUUUCAUUGUGACUACUCUUUUGCAGAUAGAUCUAGCUGUUUGUGCCACGCAUUCUUACGCAGUUAUCUUCAGAGCUUACGGCAGCACAGAGAGGCAGAGGGUAUCAGAACUUUAAAGUCUGGGCUCCAACCUUAGCAAAUUCUUUGACCUCACUGUGCCUUACAUGUCUGUUACCUGUAACACUGAGGUGGCAGACAUCACAGGGUGGUCCUGAGAACACAACAUAACCUGCUAGAGACCAAGGACUCACUGUUCCACAGACCCAGUAGCCUGGCACCUUCAUACUGUCAGGUUGCCAUGAGGAAAUAAUAAUUUAUGAUAAAUUAAGAACAAGCAUUUACUAAUCCUGCCUCUCACUUUCCAGUUGUUUCCAUACAGUACUAAGAUGAUAAGCAGAAGAACUGUGCUGUCAGUCAUUCAUAAGGAAACAGAAGCGAAGCAGGAUGGCUCAGAAGAUAUUAGCAUUAGAACUCAACAACUCAGUUCCCAGGAUAAAUUCAAUUUCUCCUUCCUUAAAUGUCUCCACCCACACACGGGAAUGGCCAUGCAUACAGUGAGAGCCACACGAUUAUACACACCGCAGAGUGACUAUCAGUGGUCAGUAAGUAUGACCUGUGGGAGCCUAGGCUUGUAACCCCAGUGUGCGACAUCAGAGGAAGGAGGAUCCCGGGGCUCAGGAGCCAGGCUAUGUAGCAAACUGGGAAGCCACGCUCAGCUGAGAGAUUCUGUUUCAAAACACAGGGGAAAUGACAAUAAAGAAUUGGUAGCUGAUGUCUAACUCUGACGUUCACAAGGGCACACAAGGUUAAGUGUACCUGCAUGCACACAUACACCCAGUGAGAGCAAGAGACGGAAAAAAUCGUAUAUUAGAGUUCUGACAGCGGCAGUCUAAUAUCCUAAAUAAUACAGGGAAAAUUCAAGUUCACUAUGUUUGAGGGGGUGGUGGGGUUGGGAGUGCUGGGAUCAAAACCUUAGACUUCUAGGCAAGCAUUUUAUCACUAAGCUAUGUACCCCAGCUCUACUUACUUUCCAAACAACUUUCUCUUUUCUCAUCCUCUCCUCC
rnacentral:sRNA from 1 species